rnacentral:lncRNA from 1 species
CGAGUAUAUAUGUGAAAAUCCUCUCAAUGGAGAAAAUAUACAGUAGUGGGAUGAAACAUGGCGAAUUGCGACCCAUUAUAAAAAUUCUUCUCAUAGUCGCACCACAUUUAGUUCUACAUGUAUUAUACAUCAUUUUAUUCCUCCUGAAACCCUUUAUCAAGCAGACCUCAACAAGGGCUCUGACUAUACAGUCCAUAUUCACCACAGCCGU